CCUACGGGUGGCAGCAGUGGGGAAUAUUGGGCAAUGGGCGCAAGCCUGACCCAGCAACGCCGCGUGAAGGAAGAAGGCUUUCGGGUUGUAAACGUCUGUUCGCAGGGACGAAGCAAGUGACGGUACCUGAGGAAUAAGCCACGGCUAACUACGGGCCAGCAGCCGCGGUAAUACGUAGGGGGCAAGCGUUAGCCGGAUUUACUGGGUGUAAAGGGCGUGUAGGCGGGGACGCAAGUCAGAUGUGAAAACCACGGGCUCAACCUGUGGCCUGCAUUUGAAACUGUGUUUCUUGAGUACUGGAGAGGCAGCCGGAAUUCCUAGUGUAGCGGUGAAAUGCGUAGAUAUUAGGAGGAACACCAGUGGCGAAGGCGGUCUGCUGGACAGCAACUGACGCUGAGGCGCGAAAGCGUGGGGAGCAAACAGGAUUAGAUACCCUUGUAGUC
rnacentral:rRNA from 1 species